CUACGUGCCAGCAGCCGCGGUAAUACGUAGGUGGCAAGCGUUGUCCGGAAUUAUUGGGCGUAAAGCGCGCGCAGGCGGAUUGGUCAGUCUGUCUUAAAAGUUCGGGGCUUAACCCCGUGAUGGGAUGGAAACUGCCAAUCUAGAGUAUCGGAGAGGAAAGUGGAAUUCCUAGUGUAGCGGUGAAAUGCGUAGAUAUUAGGAGGAACACCAGUGGCGAAGGCGACUUUCUGGACUGUUACUGACACUGAGGCACGAAAGCGUGGGGAGCAAACAGGAUUAGAUACCCUGGUAGUCCACGCCGUAAACGAUGAGCACUAGGUGUCGGGGUCGCAAGACUUCGGUGCCGCAGUUAACGCAUUAAGUGCUCCGCCUGGGGAGUACGCACGCAAGUGUAAAACUCAAAGGAAUUGACGGGGACCCGCACAAGCAGCGGAGCAUGUGGUUUAAUUCGAAGCAACGCGAAGAACCUUACCAGGACUUGACA
rnacentral:rRNA from 1 species